UACGGGGGGGGCAAGCGUUGUUCGGAAUUACUGGGCGUAAAGGGUUCGUAGGUGGCCUGCUAAGUCAGACGUGAAAUCCCUCAGCUUAACUGGGGAACUGCGUCUGAGACUGGUGGGCUUGAGUGCAGGAGAGGAACGCGGAAUUCCAGGUGUAGCGGUGAAAUGCGUAGAUAUCUGGAGGAACACCGGUGGCGAAGGCGGCGUUCUGGGAUAACACUGACGCUCAUGCACGAAAGCGUGGGGAGCAAACAGG
rnacentral:rRNA from 1 species